GAUGAACGCUGGCGGCGUGCAUAACACAUUCAAGUCGAACGGGACAAUGGGAGCUUGCUUCCGUUGUCUAGUGGCGGACGGGUGAGUAACGCGUGAGCAACCUGCCUGUGCGAGGGGGAUAACGACUGGAAACGGUCGCUAAUACCGCAUGAAAUAUACGGGUCGCAUGACCUGAAUAUCAAAGAUUUAUCGCGCACAGAUGGGCUCGCGUCUGAUUAGAUAGUUGGUGAGGUAACGGCUCACCAAGUCUGCGAUCAGUAGCCGGACUGAGAGGUUGACCGGCCACAUUGGAACUGAGAAACGGUCCAGACUCCUACGGGAGGCAGCAGUGGGGAAUAUUGGGCAAUGGGCGAAAGCCUGACCCAGCGACGCCGCGUGAGGGAAGAAGGUCUUCGGAUUGUAAACCUUAGUCAACAGGGAAGAAGAAAGUGACGGUACCUGUGGAGGAAGCCACGGCUAACUACGUGCCAGCAGCCGCGGUAAUACGUAGGUGGCGAGCGUUAUCCGGAUUUACUGGGUGUAAAGGGUGUGUAGGCGGGAUUGCAAGUCAGAUGUGAAAAUUACGGGCUCAACCCGUAACCUGCAUUUGAAACUGCAGUUCUUGAGUAUGGGAGAGGUAAGCGGAAUUCCUGGUGUAGCGGUAAAAUGCGUAGAUAUCAGGAGGAACACCGGUGGCGAAGGCGGCUUACUGGACCACAACUGACGCUGAGACACGAAAGCGUGGGGAGCAAACAGGAUUAGAUACCCUGGUAGUCCACGCCGUAAA
rnacentral:rRNA from 1 species